GAUGGGCGAAGCUGAUCCUUCAUGCCGGUGAGUGAAGAAGGCCUUCGGGUUGUAAAGCUCUUUCGGCAGGAACGGAAUGGUUCGUGCUAAUACCACGAAUUGAUGACGGUACCUGAAGAAGAAGCACCGGCUAACUACGUGCCAGCAGCCGCGGUAAUACGUAGGGUGCAGGCGUUAAUCGGAAUUACUGGGCGUAAAGCGUGCGCAGGCGGUUUCUUAAGUCAGAUGUGAAAGCCCCGGGCUUAACCUGGGAACUGCGUUUGAAACUGGGAGACUUGAGUGUGGCAGAGGGGGGUGGAAUUCCACGUGUAGCGGUGAAAUGCGUAGAUAUGUGGAGGAACACCGAUGGCGAAGGCAGCCCCCUGGGCUAACACUGACGCUCAUGCACGAAAGCGUGGGGAGCAAACAGGAUUAGAUACCCUGGUAGUCCACGCCCUAAACUAUGUCAACUGGUUGUCGGGGGAUUAACUCCCUUGGUAACGAAGCUAACGCGUGAAGUUGACCGCCUGGGGAGUACGGCCGCAAGGUUAAAACUCAAAGGAAUUGACGGGGACCCGCACAAGCGGUGGAUUAUGUGGAUUAAUUCGAUGCAACGCGAAAAACCUUACCUACCCUUGACAUGUACGGAAUCCUCCAGAGAUGGAGGGGUGCCCGAACGGGAACCGUAACACAGGUGCUGCAUGGUUGUCGUCAGCUCGUGUCGUGAGAUG
rnacentral:rRNA from 1 species